GUAACAAGGUUUCCGUAGGUGAACCUGCGGAAGGAUCAUUAAUGAAUGAAAUUGAGUGGGGUUGUAGCUGGCCUGUUACCGGGCAUGUGCACACCUCNCUCAACCACCUUCUCUACCUCUGUGCACUUCUCAUGGGUUGGGCUGCGUCUGAAAUACGACAAAGUCNGGCUCAUGUGCUUUAUACAAACAACAUAUGUCAUAGAAUGUCACUAUCAUGCUUUAAAGCAAUAUAAUACAACUUUCAACAACGGAUCUCUUGGCUCUCGCAUCGAUGAAGAACGCAGCGAAAUGCGAUAAGUAAUGUGAAUUGCAGAAUUCAGUGAAUCAUCGAAUCUUUGAACGCACCUUGCGCUCCUUGGUAUUCCGAGGAGCAUGCUUGUUUGAGUGUCAUGGUCUUCUCAACCCUCCAGUUUUUUGUUAUCAAAGGCUGUUGGGCUUGGAUGUGGAGGUUCUGCGGGCAUCUGAAUUUUUGGUUCAGGAGUCGGCUCCUCUGAAAUGCAUUAGCUUGAAUAGAACCAAGCAUGAUUCAGCGUGAUAAUUGUCUACGUUGCUUCGUCUCGGUGAACUUAAUGUUCUAGCUUCUAACUGUCCCUCAGGACAAUCUCUGAACAUCUGACCUCAAAUCAAGUAGGACUACCCGCUGAACUUAAGCAUAUCAAUAAGCGGAGGAAAAGAAACUAACAAGGAUUCCCCUAGUAACUGCGAGUGAAGCGGGAAAAGCUCAAAUUUAAAAUCUGGCAGCUUUGGCUGUCCGAGUUGUAGUCUGGA
rnacentral:rRNA from 1 species